AUAAGUGACUUGCUCAGGGUCACAGAGAUAGAUCACUGCUGGCAUCUGCCUAGAAAUUUGCUGAAAUCAGACCUCAGCUCAGCAAACCAGAGCCAUCCUCUGAGGACAGGAUCAUUGCAACCCCAUCAUGGCAUGUAUUUAUCGCCUUGAAUUGGAUGUAUUUUCUACUUGCUAAAUUGGAUUUCUUUAGGAAAGGGCAAGGACAGAAGAUAAAAACAGAUUUUUAUAAGGAUCUGAUAGAAACAUACUGAAUUUCGUUUGGG